GGGAAUAUAGUUCAAUGGGUAGAACAAUAGAUUUUUAGCACAGGUUCGAAUCCUGUCUUCACUU
rnacentral:tRNA from 1 species